rnacentral:rRNA from 1 species
AUUGAACGCUGGCGGCAGGCCUAACACAUGCAAGUCGAGCGAGCGGCGGACGGGUGAGUAAUGUAUGGGGACUGCCCGAUAGAGGGGGCUAACUACUGGAAACGGUGGCUAAUACCGCAUACUAUCGGAUAACCCAUAUGGGAUUAGCUAGUAGGUGGGGUAAAUGCUCACCUAGGCUACGAUCUCUCGCUGGUCUUAGAGGAUGAUCAGACACACGGGGACGGAGACACGGCCCAGACGCCUACGGUGUCAGCAGUGGGGAAUAUUGCUCAAUGGGCGCAAGCCUGAUGCAGCCAUGCCGCGUGUAUGAAUAAGGCCUUAGGGUUGUAAAGUACUUUCAGCGGGUAGGCGUUACCCGCAGAAGAAGCACCGGCUAACUCCGUGCCAGCAGCCGCGGUAAUAC